GAGUAUAAAUCAUGAAUCAAAACAAAAAUGGAAAAUCAUAAAAGAUGGAAAAGGCUUUCGGAUCUAGUCAUUC
rnacentral:tRNA from 1 species